rnacentral:rRNA from 1 species
UACGUAGGGUGCAAGCGUUGUCCGGAAUUAUUGGGCGUAAAGAGCUCGUAGGCGGUUUGUCGCGUCUGCUGUGAAAACCCGAGGCUCAACCUCGGGCCUGCAGUGGGUACGGGCAGACUAGAGUGCGGUGGGGGGAGAUUGGAAUUCCUGGUGUAGCGGUGGAAUGCGCAGAUAUCAGGAGGAACACCAAUGGCAAAGGCAGAUCUCUGGGCCGUAACUGACGCUGAGGAGCGAAAGCAUGGGGGAGCGAACAGG